rnacentral:rRNA from 11 species
UUUAGCAGCUACUGCACUCUAAAGGCACCAGAUCCUGUCUGAUCUUGGGAACUAAGCAGGGACAGCUCUGGGGUUAGUUAUUCGAUGGGGAAACUAACAGUAAAUACCAAGUACUGCUGGUU